CGACCUAGGAUGAUGAGGUCCAGUUACCAGGAUCACUACUCUGCAGCUUACUGGUUCCGUCCUGCAGCUCCUUCAUGCUGUCCUCCUCGCUACAGACCAAAUCAAGAUAAAGGAACCAGGAUGCUACUGUGGAUCUGCUGCAGUAUCUGGGGACGUCAGAGGAACGGUUCUUGGAACAGAUCUGAAAACACCGAGACCUCACCACUGCCAUGCUCCAGAACAUCCAGAGGACGGACGAAAAUUCAAACACCUUUGCUGGACUGAUGGGACGCAUGGUGUCGGUGCUGGAGCGACUGUCACAGAAAUAAACUGCAUUGUCCACUAUUCCUGCCUUUUUUAGAAAAAGUAAUCAUAUUUUUUAUAAAUUCUUUUCCUUCUUAGCUAUUUAAGUACACUGGUAUUUUACUCUUGCACUUUGGGUGAAUACAAAUAUAUUUGUGAUGAAA